rnacentral:rRNA from 1 species
AUACGUAGGGGGCGAGCGUUAUCCGGAAUUAUUGGGCGUAAAGAGUGCGUAGGUGGCCAUGUAAGCGCGGGGUGAAAGGCAAUAGCUUAACUAUUGUAAGCCUUGCGAACUGUGUGGCUUGAGUGCAGGAGAGGAAAGUGGAAUUCCUAGUGUAGCGGUGAAAUGCGUAGAUAUUAGGAGGAACACCAGUGGCGAAGGCGACUUUCUGGACUGUAACUGACACUGAGGCACGAAAGCGUGGGGAGCAAACAGGAUUAGAUACCCUGGUAGUCCACGCCGUAAACGAUGAGCACUAGGUGUCGGGGUCGCAAGACUUCGGUGCCGCAGUUAACGCAUUAAGUGCUCCGCCUGGGGAGUACGCACGCAAGUGUGA